GGGUCAGUAGGUUGGUCGUGCCACCGGUACGUACUGGUCUCACUGAUUCCUCCUUCCUGAAGAACCGUAAUGCCAUUAAUUUGGUGUUGCGGGGAAACAGGACUGUUACUUUGAAAAAAUUAGAGUGUUUAAAGCAAGCUAACGCUUGAAUACAUUAGCGUGGAAUAAUGAAAUAGGACGAUCGAUCCUAUUUUGUUGGUUUCUGGGAUUGACGUA
rnacentral:rRNA from 1 species